GGUGAUGUAGCUCAGUCGGUAGAGCAAAGGACUGAAAAUCCUUGUGUCGGAGGUUCGAUUCCCUCCAUCACCA
rnacentral:tRNA from 1 species